rnacentral:rRNA from 1 species
AGAGUUUGAUCCUGGCUCAGAGUGAACGCUGGCGGCGUGCUUAACACAUGCAAGUCGAACGAGAACGGAUUAUAGCUUGCUAUAAUUGUCAGCUAAGUGGCGCACGGGUGAGUAAUGUAUAGGUAAUAUGCCUCUUACUAAGGGAUAACAAUUGGAAACGAUUGCUAAUACCUUAUACUCCUUACUAACUAAAGUUAGUAAGGGAAAGAUUUAUUGGUAAGAGAUUAGCCUGUAUUGUAUCAGUUAGUUGGUGGGGUAAUGGCCUACCAAGACUAUGACACAUAACUGGUUUGAGAGGAUGAUCAGUCACACUGGAACUGAGACACGGUCCAGACUCCUACGGGAGGCAGCAGUGGGGAAUAUUGCACAAUGGACGAAAGUCUGAUGCAGCAACGCCGCGUGGAGGAUGACACAUUUCGGUGCGUAAACUCCUUUUAUAUGAGAAGAUAAUGACGGUAUCAUAUGAAUAAGCACCGGCUAACUCCGUCCCAGCAGCCGCGGUAAUACGGGGGGUGCAAGCGUUACUCGGAAUCACUGGGCGUAAAGGACGCGUAGGUGGAUAGAUAAGUCUCUUGUGAAAUCUAGUAGCUUAACUACUAAACUGCUUGGGAAACUAUCUAUCUAGAGUAAGGGAGAGGCAGAUGGAAUUCUUGGUGUAGGGGUAAAAUCCGUAGAUAUCAAGAGGAAUACUUAUUGCGAAGGCGAUCUGCUAGAACUUAACUGACACUAAUGCGUGAAAGCGUGGGGAGCAAACAGGAUUAGAUACCCCGGUAGCUGUCUCUUAUACACAUCUCCGAGCCCAC